rnacentral:rRNA from 1 species
AGGUAAGCUACUAAGAGCGAAUGGUGGAUGCCUUGACUGGUAAAGGCGAUGAAGGACGUACUAGACUGCGAUAAGCUACGGGGAGCUGUCAAGAAGCUUUGAUCCGUAGAUUUCCGAAUGGGGCAACCCAAUGUAUAGAGAUAUACAUUACCUAUAUAGGAGCGAACGAGGGGAAUUGAAACAUCUUAGUACCCUCAGGAAAAGAAAUCAAUAGAGAUUGCGUCAGUAGCGGCGAGCGAAAGCGCAAGAGGGCAAACCCAGUGCUUGCACUGGGGGUUGUAGGACUGCAAUGUGCAAGAGGUGAGUUUAGCAGAACAUUCUGGAAAGUAUAGCCAUAGAGGGUGAUAGUCCCGUAUGCGAAAAACAAACCUUAGCUAGCAGUAUCCUGAGUAGGGCGGGACACGAGAAAUCCUGUCUGAAGCUGGGUCGACCACGAUCCAACCCUAAAUACUAAUACCAGAUCGAUAGUGCACAAGUACCGUGAGGGAAAGGUGAAAAGAACUGAGGUGAUCAGAGUGAAAUAGAACCUGAAACCAUUUGCUUACAAUCAUUCAGAGCCCUAUGUAGCAAUACAGGGUGAUGGACUGCCUUUUGCAUAAUGAGCCUGCGAGUUGUGGUGUCUGGCAAGGUUAAGCAAACGCGAAGCCGUAGCGAAAGCGAGUCUGAAUAGGGCGCUUAGUCAGAUGCUGCAGACCCGAAACGAAGUGAUCUAUCCAUGAGCAAGUUGAAGCUAGUGUAAGAACUAGUGGAGGACUGAACCCAUAGGCGUUGAAAAGCCCCGGGAUGACUUGUGGAUAGGGGUGAAAGGCCAAUCAAACUUCGUGAUAGCUGGUUCUCUCCGAAAUAUAUUUAGGUAUAGCGUUGUGUCGUAAUAUAAGGGGGUAGAGCACUGAAUGGGCUAGGGCAUACACCAAUGUACCAAACCCUAUCAAACUCCGAAUACCUUAUAUGUAAUCACAGCAGUCAGGCGGCGAGUGAUAAAAUCCGUCGUCAAGAGGGAAACAACCCAGACUACCAGCUAAGGUCCCUAAAUCUUACUUAAGUGGAAAACGAUGUGAAGUUACUUAAACAACCAGGAGGUUGGCUUAGAAGCAGCCAUCCUUUAAAGAAAGCGUAAUAGCUCACUGGUCUAGUGAUUUUGCGCGGAAAAUAUAACGGGGCUAAAGUAAGUACCGAAGCUGUAGACUUGCACACAACUUAGAUUAUUUAAGUUUAGAAUAUGAGAAACUAAGUUAUAUGUUUAGUUAUAUUUUUACUGAUUUUUAUAGAGUAAAGAUAGAAAUAAAACUUAGUAAAAUCAGUAAAAAUAUUCUUAGACUAAAGUUAAGUAGUUUAAGUUGUGUGCAAGUGGUAGGAGAGCGUUCUAUUUGCGUCGAAGGUAUACCGGUAAGGAGUGCUGGAGCGAAUAGAAGUGAGCAUGCAGGCAUGAGUAGCGAUAAUUAAUGUGAGAAUCAUUAACGCCGUAAACCCAAGGUUUCCUACGCGAUGCUCGUCAUCGUAGGGUUAGUCGGGUCCUAAGUCGAGUCCGAAAGGGGUAGACGAUGGCAAAUUGGUUAAUAUUCCAAUACCAACAUUAGUGUGCGAUGGAAGGACGCUUAGGGCUAAGGGGGCUAGCGGAUGGAAGUGCUAGUCUAAGGUCGUAGGAGGUUAUACAGGCAAAUCCGUAUAACAAUACUCCGAGAACUGAAAGGCUUUUUGAAGUCUUCGGAUGGAUAGAAGAACCCCUGAUGCCGUCGAGCCAAGAAAAGUUUCUAAGUUUAGCUAAUGUUGCCCGUACCGUAAACCGACACAGGUGGGUGGGAUGAGUAUUCUAAGGCGCGUGGAAGAACUCUCUUUAAGGAACUCUGCAAAAUAGCACCGUAUCUUCGGUAUAAGGUGUGGUUAGCUUUGUAUUAGGAUUUACUCCGAAAGCAAGGAAACUUACAACAAAGAGUCCCUCCCGACUGUUUACCAAAAACACAGCACUCUGCUAACUCGUAAGAGGAUGUAUAGGGUGUGACGCCUGCCCGGUGCUCGAAGGUUAAUUGAUGGGGUUAGCAUUAGCGAAGCUCUUGAUCGAAGCCCGAGUAAACGGCGGCCGUAACUAUAACGGUCCUAAGGUAGCGAAAUUCCUUGUCGGUUAAAUACCGACCUGCAUGAAUGGCGUAACGAGAUGGGAGCUGUCUCAAAGAGGGAUCCAGUGAAAUUGUAGUGGAGGUGAAAAUUCCUCCUACCCGCGGCAAGACGGAAAGACCCCGUGGACCUUUACUACAGCUUGACACUGCUACUUGGAUAAGAAUGUGCAGGAUAGGUGGGAGGCUUUGAGUAUAUGACGCCAGUUGUAUAUGAGCCAUUGUUGAGAUACCACUCUUUCUUAUUUGGGUAGCUAACCAGCUUGAGUUAUCCUCAAGUGGGACAAUGUCUGGUGGGUAGUUUGACUGGGGCGGUCGCCUCCCAAAUAAUAACGGAGGCUUACAAAGGUUGGCUCAGAACGGUUGGAAAUCGUUCGUAGAGUAUAAAGGUAUAAGCCAGCUUAACUGCAAGACAUACAAGUCAAGCAGAGACGAAAGUCGGUCUUAGUGAUCCGGUGGUUCUGUGUGGAAGGGCCAUCGCUCAAAGGAUAAAAGGUACCCCGGGGAUAACAGGCUGAUCUCCCCCAAGAGCUCACAUCGACGGGGAGGUUUGGCACCUCGAUGUCGGCUCAUCGCAUCCUGGGGCUGGAGCAGGUCCCAAGGGUAUGGCUGUUCGCCAUUUAAAGCGGUACGCGAGCUGGGUUCAGAACGUCGUGAGACAGUUCGGUCCCUAUCUGCCGUGGGCGUAAGAAGAUUGAAGAGAUUUGACCCUAGUACGAGAGGACCGGGUUGAACAAACCACUGGUGUAGCUGUUGUUCUGCCAAGAGCAUCGCAGCGUAGCUAAGUUUGGAAAGGAUAAACGCUGAAAGCAUCUAAGCGUGAAGCCAACUCUAAGAUGAAUCUUCUCUAAGCUCUCUAGAAGACUACUAGUUUGAUAGGCUGGGUGUGUAAUGGAUGAAAGUCCUUUAGCUGACCAGUACUAAUAGAGCGUUUGGCUUAUCUUU